rnacentral:ncRNA from 1 species
CCCCCGGUGGUUUGGCAUGAGUCGACCAACCGCCUGCGCGAUCUGGUCCGCCCGCUGCGUCACUGCAGUCACAUGAGGCAACCAGGAUAGGUGGUAGUGAACCAGCACACCCAGGUGCUUUAUGCUCCUGGAGUAUGGAACUGCAGUUCCUCUCACGUCGAUGAUAAUGUGGUUUGGAGGGUGCUUCAGACUUGAGAUAAUCGUCAUCUCUGUCUUAGCUGAUGCCAGCUCCAAGUAGUGCUGCUGCAUCCACUGGUCGGCUGCUGACACCGCUGCCUCCGCCACUGCUGCAGACUCCUCCGGCGUCCUACCCGGGGCCAGGACGACGAGAUCAUCGGCGUAGCCAAUGACCUUGGCCUCGUCGGGUAGGGGAAUCCGCAGCACCCCGUCGUACAUUACCGGGAUAAUUGGCUUAUGAGACUUACGCGCUACCGACUGCGCUAUCGAGGCUGUGUGUACCGGGAUAAUUGGCUUGUGGCCUCCAAGCGUUCAUAGCGACGUGGCUUUUUGAUCCUUCGAUGUCGACUCUUCCUAUCAUUUUCAAGCAAAAUUCACCAAGUGUUGGAUUGUUUAACCUUUCAAGGGAAGGUGAGCUGGGUUUAGACCGUCGUGAGACAGGUUAGUUUUACCCUACUGAUGUGUGCUUAUAGUCGCUAUCUUAACGGAAUUCCUGUGCAGUACGAGAGGAACUACAGGUACGGAUCACUGGCUCAAUAUUAGGUACAUAAUGAGAAAUAUUACUGGUACACACGUGUAUUGUUUAAUAAUAAAAGUAUAAAAUAUGCCUCUCCCCAUAAUCCAACUUUGUGUUUUGUUUUGCAAAUCAGGAAGAUAAAUAAUUAAAAAUUAUAUGUAUUUUGAGAGACUUGGAAUGAUUUUUAUAGUCAAUGUCAUAAUAUAUUUACAUUAUUAAAAUACGAUAUUUGUGUAGUUCUUUAAAAAACGAAAACAUACUAACAUCUUUAAUU